rnacentral:rRNA from 1 species
GAUGAACGCUGGCGGCGUGCCUAAUACAUGCAAGUCGAGCGAACAGAUGAGGAGCUUGCUCCUCUGACGUUAGCGGCGGACGGGUGAGUAACACGUGGAUAACCUACCUAUAAGACUGGGAUAACUUCGGGAAACCGGAGCUAAUACCGGAUAAUAUAUUGAACCGCAUGGUUCAAUAGUGAAAGACGGUUUUGCUGUCACUUAUAGAUGGAUCCGCGCCGCAUUAGCUAGUUGGUAAGGUAACGGCUUACCAAGGCAACGAUGCGUAGCCGACCUGAGAGGGUGAUCGGCCACACUGGAACUGAGACACUGUCCAGACUCCUACGGGAGGCAGCAGUAGGGAAUCUUCCGCAAUGGGCGAAAGCCUGACGGAGCAACGCCGCGUGAGUGAUGAAGGUCUUCGGAUCGUAAAACUCUGUUAUUAGGGAAGAACAAAUGUGUAAGUAACUAUGCACGUCUUGACGGUACCUAAUCAGAAAGCCACGGCUAACUACGUG